rnacentral:lncRNA from 1 species
UUAAAUUUGUUAAACAUAAAAGGUGAUACCAGGAUGUCUGUAAAUGUUAUACUUUGUCUUUAGGAAACAGAACUUAACAAAAAACUGAGAAAUGAAAUGGCCACAGAAAGGGCAGAGAAGCAGGUAAGCCCGUCAGAAAAAGCUGGACCUUUUUGAGUGUUAGUAUCAUUUAACAAGGGUAACAUCGGACUUAACACUUGGAUGAAAUGAAGUAUGCGUGUGUGUCAGGAGGUAUUGAGAUCCCUCCACCACAGUCAGAGUUUGCUGCAGAGACAGACAGAAUCUCUGAGCCGAGCAGAGAAGGAGCAUCGCAAACUCUGUGAAGAAUAUCAGGUCCUUAAAACAGAACAUGAAUUGAACCAAGAGAGGACUAAAGAAAAAGACGACGGCUU